rnacentral:lncRNA from 1 species
CGGCCCUCCAGCCAUUGUUCUGAUGCUGGCUGCUCAUGGAGUUGGCAGCACUGAAAUUGUUGCUCCAGCCACCUUGGUGGCCUCCCAUGGCUUGUGGAGGGUAUUUUGAAGGUGGCUUGAGCUGCAAGCUACCACCGCCAUGGAAUUGUUCCUCAGCAUGCCAUGAUUCCUCCUCAUCAGAUGAGUAGCUUUCUUCAUGGAAGUUGUUGCUUCCAUAGCCUCCUCUCAUGGGGAAGGCUUGCUGCUGGCUGUAGCUUGGUUUGUCUGAUAUCAUAAAUUGUGUUUGGUUGGUUUUGAGGAUGUGUGGAGUGCAAGUUCUGCAAAUGGGAGAUUACCCUUUUAUAGGUUUCAAAAAGUUGUGUGAUGUGACGAUAAGAGGGGAUCUCAUUCCCCUUCAGGUAGAAAUUUUCAUUGUGGAAAGGAGAACACUUUUGGAUACCUCUCUUUCCUUA